GUCUGAGGGCAUUUCUCUCACCCGGAUAUUUCAGGGAACAUUAAACCCUUCAGUAAUUCACUGAUCAUAGAUCCCAUCACUGUCAAUGUCCCUCACUGCCCAGCUCCAAUGAAUUCACCGAAUGUCAGUAAUUUCGUCUGUCGGUGUGACCCUGUAAACUCCACAUAUUCUCUCUCAUUCCCUAAUGGUUAGAAAAGUGUUCCUGACGUGAGACAGUCGGAAAGGGCAGGUGUGAAGGGGAGAAGUCAAACAGUGAGGAAGAUUUGAGAAUCGGGAAAUGUCGAUGGGAGAUGGAGGAAGAGACAUCACCUAAGUUUGCACUUUAUCCCGUUGUGAUGCGGUUUGAACGGCAUCGUCUGGAUGAAAGCAUUACAUCAACAAGAUGUGACAACAAGAACGGAAGAGAGGGGAGAGAGAGAGUGCAAAAACAAAUGGAUGGCGGGCAUCACCGAAUCGUGGC